UACGUAGGUGGCAAGCGUUAUCCGGAAUUAUUGGGCGUAAAGAGCGCGCAGGUGGUUGAUUAAGUCUGAUGUGAAAGCCCACGGCUUAACCGUGGAGGGUCAUUGGAAACUGGUCGACUUGAGUGCAGAAGAGGGAAGUGGAAUUCCAUGUGUAGCGGUGAAAUGCGUAGAGAUAUGGAGGAACACCAGUGGCGAAGGCGGCUUCCUGGUCUGUAACUGACGCUGAGUCACGAAAGCGUGUGUAGCAAACAGGAUUAGA
rnacentral:rRNA from 1 species